rnacentral:SRP_RNA from 1 species
CCGUGCUAGACGGGGAGGUAGCGGUGCCCUGUACUCGCAACCCGCUGUAGCGAGGUCGAAUGCCACCCCGAGGCCGUCCUCUUUUGGGGUCCGGCCGGGGCAAGCGGCGAAGAAGGCUGGGUCCCGCGCAACGAGAGUCUAUGAACCCCGUCAGGACCGGGAGGUAGCAGCGGUAAGUAGAAUUUCUCGUGUGCCGCGGGGGUGCCUGGCCGGAGUUGGCUACCGCGGUAUCGCCUGGGGGAGGCGGUCGAAGGCUGGUGCACGG